rnacentral:rRNA from 1 species
AUGUGUCCCACUGCUUCAGAGCUAAGCUGGCUUAACUACAAGAAUUGUGCAGUUCUCAAAGUGGUUAAGGGUGAGGUUUCUGCCUCGGAGUUGCUGAUUCAGCUCAAUGGAUUUUUUUUGAAAAACAAAGAGUGGCCUUGGCAGAUUAGGGACUUGGGAGAGAAGAAAUUCUUGCUGAGAUUUCCACCUUGGAAAAAUGUUGAAGACCUGAUAGAGUUUCCUGCAUUUGAGCUUCCAAUUGAUGAUGUUUCUGUCAAGAUCUGCGAGUGGGUGAGAAUGCUAGAUGAAUUUGGAGGACUUACUGAGGCCUGUGUUCAAAUUGAGGGGAUUCCUCCAAAGUGGUGUGCAUGGAAGGUGUUUGCCCAGAUUACAGCUUGCUUUGGGAUCCUGGUAGAUGUGGACUGGAAUGGUAUAUUUAAGAGAUUCUAUGAGAAUAUCAGAGUGAAAUUGGCUUGUAGAGAUCCCAGGAAAAUUCCUUUUGAGAGAUUAGUUGAAAUGAAAAGGAAGCUAUACAUUAUGUUCUUCACUGUUGAAGGGUUUGAACAACUGGGAAAGGACUCUGAUGGAGAUGAUCUGGACCCAGAUUUAGACAAUAUGGAGAAAGCGGAUGAAGAUAACAAUGAGGACAUGUCAAACAAAGAUAAAUCUCAAGGAGAAGACAUGGGGGAACCUAUUGAUGAGCUGGACAAGGCAAAUUUCCCUCCCAAAAAUACUCUGGCUGCAAGUUCUAGUCAGUCAAAUUCACAGAGAGCUGCUUCUGCAGUGGAAUUUCACCCACCCAAUAUGCUGGAUACAAUACAUGAGGAUUUUGUGGAAGAGAUUAGGAGCAAAACCCCUGAGAAGAAUAAGGAGGCAGAUAAUGAAAAACCCACUCUGCAAAACCCUUUCCUUCUGAAAGAUCUGAUCCCAUGUCAGCACAUCUAG